GAUUGCAGACUACAAUUUAGCCAAACGACACGUGAAACGUUUUUUCCUUGUUUAACUUUUGAGAUUGCCAGUUAAUAUUAAUACUAGAAAUCAGAGAUAAAAACCUACUAGGAAACAGUUUUUGCACUUCUCAACGGACUCUCUACUAUUUUGGCAAAUUGGAUAUACCCUGUCGUUGCUGCUGGCGCUGGCGAAGACAUUGGUCCGGAUUGGAUUCCAUCGAAUGCUCCCGAUUCUGGCCGUGUGCUUUCGCCUCUCGAGCAAACGACAUCCGUCCUCGCCAUUCCACAGGAUCAGCGUUCCGUUUUGAGGCACCUGGUAUAGAAAAUCCGCACUACUUCAUGGAAUCCGAUUUAUCACGUCGUCUGCUUCAUUCACGAGUGGAAUUGUUGUUGUUGGAGAUUGGUGAACGGAGACUACGUCGGGAGGAUCCAAUCCCAUAGCCAUACAGAUACUUUUUUUUAACUUUGCUUGCCAAUUCCUUCAAAUUAUUGUUUUUGAUUGUAUGACAUAUUUGCUUUUAUCAAAAUUUAUGUUAAAAGGGUCCAUUAUUUUGAAUGAAAUGAUUUCUUGUAUGUUAAAUGAUGUUUAUUUGAGAGACUUCCUCAUUCAAAUGAGUAAUAGUGUUAAAUAUUCAUUGAAUCUACAGUAAGAUCAAAGUGAAUAAAUAGUGGAAAGCAAAAAGGUAUGAAAAAGUCAAAAAGCAAAAAAAUAGUAAGCAAAUGCACCAUUUUUUGAAAAGAACCGCGUCAUUUAUUGUUUUUCAGACACCUAGUAGAGGAAUUUUGUACUGCUUAUUAAAUCAUGCUGUGAUCUUUUGUCGUCUGCGUUCCUCGUGGCUUUCACCUCACGUUUCACUAUUUUGUCGGCGGUGUAUUGCUCUGUUAAUGGUCGAAAUAUAGAAAAGUGAGAUUGCUUUGAUCUUCUUAUGACUGUUAGUGAAAUAUUUUUUAUUUCGACUUUAAAAUAGAGAAGAAACAAAAAAGUUGUUAGAGUACAGAGUGCAUCAACAAUUUUUGAGUUUGUACGUCAUUUCUGAUACUCAUCCUCAAACCGAAAGAUAUCAACAGGCAAUGAGACAGAAGUGAAGCUGCUACAUAAAUAAGUAGGAAAAGAUGUGCACAAACAUUGAGUUGGUACCCUUUCAACAACGGACCCAAUGACCAACUGAGCUUUGAGACCAAGUCUUUUAUGAAAUAAAAAACUACUUCAGCGCAAUUACCAGUGUCAAGCUGAGUUAAAAUCAGAAACGACAACUUGAAAUAUUCCAUAUCAUCAAGGCGUUGAUACCAGUAGUUGAGAUGAAGAAUCACUGCUUUUGCAAUUACAGUAGAGAAAUAAUGGAAAUAAAAGGUGGACGAUGCUAAAUUUCGUCGAUUGACCGCCCAUAUUCAAAUCGUGCAUCAAUCUGAUGCCCUUGCCAAUGAAAGUGAAGCGGCGACAGGGAUCAGCAUCAGCGGCCCUAUCUUUAAAAGUUAUCUCCAAAUCAACAGCAGCUGCCGAGUGGUCCUUGGAUCGCGAAGUUACUUGCCAGUUUAGUGUCGCCUAUACGCCAAUUAUUUCUUUGGUCGACUGCGUUACAUCGGAGUCUCAACAUCCCCGCGAUUAGUUGCCGGAAGGAACACAGAUAUCCUACAGGGAGAUUGAGUCUUUAGUAGAUUGGUCUUAGUUCGCCCCCAGUUAAUCUGGCUGAACAAAUUGAGUCGCAGCAGGAAACUUCUUGUGAUUUUUCCAUGGAAAUAGAUAUGGAAUUCGAUGACAUGUUGCAGAGUUUAGAUCGUGGACCGAAUCAUUCAUUUGGCUGAAGAAGAUGUCGGUUCUCUCGGAUGACUCGGCGUAAUAACUCACACAUCUUGUCCAGGAGCAACUCACUCCCACCAUUUGGGGGUCCAAAAUUCCGCUGAAUUCAUGUAGAAGGAUCGAUGCGAACGUUGUUCACCCUUUCAUUCGUGGCGCCAUUUGUGAAUACCAAUUAUGUAUAGGAAGAGAUGGAUACUUUGCACGAAAAUUCAUGGCGGAAAAUCCGACCAGUAGUGUAUGCCGGAUGAGCCAAAUAAGAGAUCUUCACUUGACUUACGGUUCAUCAUUUGGGCUCGUCAAGUUGCGAGGCAGCAACGUGCCUACAACAUACCUAAAUGAAGGGAGUUGAACAUAUCGAAAUUAGGGCUGGGAGAACCCUGUCAAAAUUUUCGAAGAUAAAAAACAGGAGGUUAGCUGAUCCUGGACGUUACCCAAACAAGGAUGGUGAAGCAGUCUCGUCCUGUCUUCUUUUCCAAUUGCUGACUCUCUAAGAAGAACAUCCCAGUGAAUCGACAUGGCCGUUCAGUUACAUGUCAACCGGAUUUUUCACAGGACUUUUUCAGCCGCAACGUUGGUGGACGAUAACCCUGGGACAGGUCAAGCUGAAUUAGCCACAUAGGGCAAACCUCCAAGAAAAAACAUCAAACAAAUAGAAAACAAAUCAUAUUGUUGGAAAAUGUCUAGUGAACCGUAUUCUAGGAAUAAGCCGGGUGCAUUAUCUACGCUAUCUCCAAAUAACCUAACAAGGUGAUAAUGAUGAUAAUGAUUGAAUGAUUGACAUGAUUUUGGAAUUAGACCCCCCCCCCCCUUCUCCACAAACAUGAAGCAACAUUUGAAAUUAUCACUUCCACUUACUUACAUGAGUUUACUUGCAUUAUUGUGAGAUGAUGUUGUCAAGCCACCGUCUUCACAAGGAUUAAAGGGGGAAGAGAGACAAAAUAACUUUCAAGGCUGUUCGCUACCAAACGAUGGUGAGUUCAAAUUGGGUCAAUAAAGGAUACUCCUCCCUUAUUCAAUUUGCUCUAUUUUCAUCUGACCUCGAAUACUUAAAAAUACCUCCAGCGUUGUUGCUGCGGGGAAUCGACGUGCCGGUGGGCAUUCUAGGGGCCCAAAAAUGCUCAGUAGUCCACGUAUUCGCACGG